rnacentral:lncRNA from 10 species
CACUCAGCUUUCUGAAAUGGUGUCCCACCGCAAGGACUGGAGAAGGGCCAUGAGAGAAGCAGUACCUUAUAAUGGUUCCUUGUUCAAAGCACUCAAUAUUCCUAGGAUGUGGUCUCCCAGCUGACUUCAUAACUGAAUCAUCAGUAAUUAAUUUCAUUGUUCUAUUAGGUAAACCUCAGGUUCUCCUCCUGCCUUUUGCUAAGUAUAUGUCUUGAUGACAAGCCUUCUGCUGAUGAGCUGUGUUUCUGGACCGAUCAUGGUAGAAGUCAAUUAACGUGUCCCUCACUUGGGGUUUCUCAAGGCUGCACUGAUGAGGAAACUGAAACAGAAAAUCCAGAGUAAAUUCCACCAGGCCACACAGCAAGGUCUGAUAGAGCCAGGAGAGACUUUAUGAAAUCCAGACUCUCACACUAAUGCUCUAUCAGCUAGACCUCCAUGUGAGUCUCCCCAAUGUAGGUAGGAAGUGCUUUCCCUAAAAUGCUCAUAAAGCAAAUCAGAGCAAUGCUGCAUUCCAUGUGAUUUCUAAUUUGAAAUGCAAACAAUUGCCAAUUUGUUUGACUUGUAUUUAUAAUUAUUUCCUUGUGAAUUACUCAUCACUAAAUGCUUUAUAAAUAUUUUCUCUUUUUUUCCUCAAUGUCUA